rnacentral:rRNA from 1 species
GACGAACGCUGGCGGCGUGCUUAACACAUGCAAGUCGAACGGUGAAGGAGAGCUUGCUCUCCGGAUCAGUGGCGAACGGGUGAGUAACACGUGGGCAACCUGCCCCAGACUUCGGGAUAACGCUUCGAAAGAGGUGCUAAUACCGGAUACGAACUCCUUGGGCAUCCUUGGAGUUGGAAAGUUUUUCGGUCUGGGAUGGGCCCGGGGCCUAUCAGCUUGUUGGGGAGGUAACGGCUCACCAAGGCGACGACGGGUAGCCGGCCUGAGAGGGCGACCGGCCACACUGGGACUGAGACACGGCCCAGACUCCUACGGGAGGCAGCAGUGGGGAAUAUUGCGCAAUGGGCGAAAGCCUGACGCAGCAACGCCGCGUGAGGGAUGACGGCCUUCGGGUUGUAAACCUCUUUCAGCAGGGAAGAAGCGAAAGUGACGGUACCUGCAGAAGAAGCACCGGCUAACUACGUGCCAGCCGCCGACGUAACAC